UUGAACGCUGGCGGCAGGCCUCACACAUGCAAGUCGAGCGGAUGAAGGGAGCUUGCUCCUGGAUCCAGCGGCGGACGGGUGAGUAAUGCCUAGGAAUCUGCCUGGUAGUGGGGGAUAACGUCCGGAAACGGGCGCUAAUACCGCAUACGUCCUGAGGGAGAAAGUGGGGGAUCUUCGGACCUCACGCUAUCAGAUGAGCCUAGGUCGGAUUAGCUAGUUGGUGGGGUAAAGGCCUACCAAGGCGACGAUCCGUAACUGGUCUGAGAGGAUGAUCAGUCACACUGGAACUGAGACACGGUCCAGACUCCUACGGGAGGCAGCAGUGGGGAAUAUUGGACAAUGGGCGAAAGCCUGAUCCAGCCAUGCCGCGUGUGUGAAGAAGGUCUUCGGAUUGUAAAGCACUUUAAGUUGGGAGGAAGGGCAGUAAGUUAAUACCUUGCUGUUUUGACGUUACCAACAGAAUAAGCACCGGCUAACUUCGUG
rnacentral:rRNA from 1 species